UGGGUAACCUGCCUGUAAGACUGGGAUAACUCCGGGAAACCGGAGCUAAUACCGGAUAGUUCCUUGAACCGCAUGGUUCAAGGAUGAAAGACGGUUUCGGCUGUCACUUACAGAUGGACCCGCGGCGCAUUAGCUAGUUGGUGAGGUAACGGCUCACCAAGGCGACGAUGCGUAGCCGACCUGAGAGGGUGAUCGGCCACACUGGGACUGAGACACGGCCCAGACUCCUACGGGAGGCAGCAGUAGGGAAUCUUCCGCAAUGGACGAAAGUCUGACGGAACAACGCCGCGUGAGUGAUGAAGGUUUUCGGAUCGUAAAGCUCUGUUGUUAGGGAAGAACAAGUGCAAGAGUAACUGCUUGCACCUUGACGGUACCUAACCAGAAAGCCACGGCUAACUAC
rnacentral:rRNA from 1 species